rnacentral:rRNA from 1 species
AUGCAAGUCGAGCGGAAAGGCCCCUUCGGGGGUACUCGAGCGGCGAACGGGUGAGUAACACGUGAGCAACCUGCCCCUGACUCUGGGAUAAGCCCGGGAAACUGGGUCUAAUACCGGAUAUGACCGGCCUUCGCAUGGAGUGCCGGUGGAAAGUUUUUCGGUUGGGGAUGGGCUCGCGGCCUAUCAGCUUGUUGGUGGGGUGAUGGCCUACCAAGGCGACGACGGGUAACCGGCCUGAGAGGGCGACCGGUCACACUGGGACUGAGACACGGCCCAGACUCCUACGGGAGGCAGCAGUGGGGAAUAUUGCGCAAUGGGCGGAAGCCUGACGCAGCGACGCCGCGUGGGGGAUGACGGCCUUCGGGUUGUAAACCUCUUUCAGCAGGGACGAAGCUAACGUGACGGUACCUGCAGAAGAAGCGCCGGCUAACUACGUGCCAGCAGCCGCGGGUAAUUCA